rfam:Oryza sativa (indica cultivar-group) chromosome 12, whole genome shotgun sequence.
AACCACACUAUCGAUGAAUGAAUUCACCCGCAAGAUGAUGUGGAUGUUUCACCAUAGGACGAGGACAUAGCAUCCUAUUACCAGCCAUCGCACGAAAUUAAUAGGAUGUCACAUCCUCAUCCUAAUGGAACAACCACAUCAUCUCACGGGUGAAUCCGUUCAUCGAUAAUGUGGUU